CUACGUGCCAGCAGCCGCGGUAAUACGGGAGGUCCUGGCGUUAUCCGGAUUUAUUGGGUUUAAAGGGAGCGCAGGCUGCACUUUAAGCGUGUUGUGAAAUGUACCGGCUCAACCGGUAACGUGCAGCGCGAACUGGGGUGCUUGAGUACGAAGAGGGAAGGCGGAACUCGUGGUGUAGCGGUGAAAUGCUUAGAUAUCACGAGGAACUCCGAUCGCGAAGGCAGCUUUCCGUUUCGGAACUGACGCUGAGGCUCGAAAGUGCGGGUAUCGAACAGGAUUAGAUACCCUGGUAGUCCGCACGGUAAACGAUGGAUGCUCGCUGUUGGAUAUUUUUAUUCAGUGGCUAAGUGAAAACGUUAAGCAUCCCACCUGGGGAGUACGCCGGCAACGGUGAAACUCAAAGGAAUUGACGGGGGCCCGCACAAGCGGUGGAGCAUGUGGUUUAAUUCGAAGCAACGCGAAGAACCUUACCAGGUCUUGACAUCCCGAUGCUAUUUCUAGAGAUAGAAAGUUA
rnacentral:rRNA from 1 species